AGAGUUUGGAUCUGGCUCAGAUUGAACGCUGGCGGCAGGCCUAACACAUGCAAGUCGAGCGGAAACGACACUAACAAUCCUUCGGGUGCGUUAAUGGGCGUCGAGCGGCGGACGGGUGAGUAAUGCCUAGGAAAUUGCCUUGAUGUGGGGGAUAACCAUUGGAAACGAUGGCUAAUACCGCAUAAUGCCUACGGGCCAAAGAGGGGGACCUUCGGGCCUCUCGCGUCAAGAUAUGCCUAGGUGGGAUUAGCUAGUUGGUGAGGUAAUGGCUCACCAAGGCGACGAUCCCUAGCUGGUCUGAGAGGAUGAUCAGCCACACUGGAACUGAGACACGGUCCAGACUCCUACGGGAGGCAGCAGUGGGGAAUAUUGCACAAUGGGCGAAAGCCUGAUGCAGCCAUGCCGCGUGUAUGAAGAAGGCCUUCGGGUUGUAAAGUACUUUCAGUUGUGAGGAAGGGUGUGUAGUUAAUAGCUGCRCAUCUUGACGUUAGCAACAGAAGAAGCACCGGCUAACUCCGUGCCAGC
rnacentral:rRNA from 1 species